rnacentral:lncRNA from 1 species
AGUCAGACAUAGAGGUGGACAAGCAAUGGCUAUUAAUUUGGACUAAAGACAGCCUAUAAAGACAGCCUAAUAUAAUUUGACCCUGAAUUUGCAACUUUGUUGCCUCUACAUAUCAUUCUUCUCAUCUGUUCAUUGGCUUGUAGCAAGUCCUGUGAGAGGUGAUAGUUCUUUCCAGGAACUUGGUUCACAGCAUUUUGGGGGUACAAUACUCUCUACUGCUUGCUCUUUCUCUUUGUCUCUCUCUGUCUCUCUCUCUUUGUCUCUGUCUGUCUCUGUCUCUGUCUCUGUGUCUCUCUCUCUCUCACACUGGAUUUUCUUUCUUGAUCCAAUUUCUUGACUUUUUUUUUAAAAUCUGAUUUCUUUAAAUUUUGAAAUACUGUCCUUUUUAUUUGUUGGGCCUUUUUCUGAUUUAAUCAAUCUACUCCCCAGGCCCCAUUUUAUUAUGAAAAACAGUAUCAAAAAUUUGGACCUAACUUCAUUGGACACUGUUAAGUGGCCUGAAAAGCUUAUUAUCUGUACUCCUGUAAGCCUGAAGUUUCACAGGAACCCCAUGAAGUACAAGGUAGAAAUACAACCACUUUUUAGGUUUUCAUUUUAAGCUGUGAAUGUAAUAUGUAAGCACAUUUACAAAGUGUUAGGAGGUAUCAUUUUUAUAUUAUAAAUUGAAGAAGGCACAAGAGUGCUGGAGAUAAAGAUAAAGGAUACUUCUUCUUGAAUUACAGAGCACAGUUAUGGCUCAAUGUUAAGAGAAUCUGAUGGCCCAUCCUUUCAUCUUAGCUCAGACUACCUCACUCAGGGAUCCAUCACAUAAUCAGCCACUAAACCCAGACACUAUUGCAUAUGCCAGCAAGAUUUUGCUGAAAGGACCCUGAUAUAGUUGUCUCGUGUAAGGCUAUGCCAGUGCCUGGCAAAUACAGAAGUGGAUGCUCACAGUCAUCUAUUGGAUGGACACAGGGCCCCCAAUGGAGAAGCUAGAGAAAGUACCCAAGGAGCUGAAGGGGUCUGCAAUCCUAUAGGUGGAACAACAAUAUGAACUAACCAGUACCCCCAGAGCUCGUGUUUCUAGCUGCAUAUGUAGCAGAAAAUGGCCUAGUCGGCCAUCACUGGGCAGAGGUCUUGCAAACUUUAUAUGCCCUGAUGUCUGAGAAAAGGCUGAAAAUAAUAUUUUGCUGUUUUAAGAAAUGGGCUGGCAUGUAAAUAUUCUUUCACAUAAAUAGGGAACACAAUACACUUCAGUGAAGUUAGAGAGCCAAGUAUGAACGUGAAAGUAUGAUCUUUCAGAUGCUUGCGAAGACCAACCAUGUUUGAUGACUAUCCAGGAAAUCAAUGAGACAGACCCAUAGUAGCAGAAAACCAGAAAAGGCUAUUCCAUGGUCAUCAACUGUUGCAUAAGUUAGGAAUCUAAAGCGCAUUAACUUUAGCUUCCAGUUAAAUUAGAUUCUAGGCAGUCCUCAGGUGAAGUGACACAGUCUCCUUUGUGAGUUAAAAAAGAGACAGUAGCUAAAAACUUUGUGGAGUGUCAGAAUGAGGUCCUCAAGAAAUCUUCCUCUACAAAACCAGUGGCAGGAAUUAUUAAAGUUAAUUAUAUAAUUGACUUUAAGAGGCCUCUAGAUAGUAAGAAAAGGCUUGCAACAAUCCCAGUACUAUUUAGAAAAAAAUAAAAGGAUGUAUUACAAUAAAUCAAUUGGUUUCCUCUGGCAUUUUUACUUUCAUCAUCCUGUCCACUUAUCUGUGUUACAUGCUCAAUUUGAAAACUACCAGCCUUGUAACUAUUCAAAUCAUGAAAUUCAACAUCCCACGAAUCACUGGAGGGCCAGAAUGAAACAGAUCUUCUUUAAAAAAAAAAUCUCCAGAGAAUUGUCCAAAGAAUUAUUGCUCUUGGAUUGUGUUGCCAUUCCCAGGGUUUGUCUUCGUUUAACCUUAGACUUUGUGCAGGUAGCACUAUUUUCAAGACACGUGCC